rnacentral:lncRNA from 1 species
AGUUACUUUUAAUACAAAGAUUAAGCUUUCAGCUAACUUUUUUCUUAUACUGAUACUUAUUUUAGAGAACCCAUUGCUGAUAUAAACCAUCUUAUUUAUAUUUUGUUCUGAUACUUGAUAAAUUUAUUUACAUCUUGCUGUGAAAUUCACUUUGCUAUUAAGUAAAUUCAUUCAAAAGUUCUGAAAAAUGGUAUUAACUAUUCUUAAAAGUGCUAUCAAAACCCUCCUAAUGCUCUGGGCUGUCAGUGACAUAUCAUCUUCUUAGAGUCACAUUCUCUAGUAACUGCAAUCAGAAUUUCUUUCUCUCUCAUGCUUCCACUGUUGCACAGGAUAUAGCCUUAACUCAACACCUAUUCCAGUUUACUUAUAUCAAAGAUAUUCAUGAAAAUAUUCUCUCUCCAGGAAGGCAGCAACUAUCUAUUUUCUCUCUCUGUCACUAGCAUAAGGCUUUAUGCUUCUCAGCUGGAUUCAGAUAAAUAUUUGAUGAAUUGAAUGCAUUCUGUUCUUGUUUUAAUAAUGUAUGCAUACAUCUAGCAUAGAAUACUUGGUAGGCAACAUUGUAUAAGAUAUCCCUCAAACACCAAUUUACAUUGUGUAGUAUUUUUUUCCAGAAGAGAACUAAUAGUUAUUAAGCGCCUAUGAUACAUUAAAGAUUGUAUCUGUAUUCUCAAUUAGUUCCUGUAAUAUAGGGACUAUUAUUAACUUUGUAUCUAUGAGGAAAUAGAAGCAUGAAAGAAUACAUAACUUUUACAAGGUCUAAUGGCUGUUAAAUGUCAGGAUCCCCCUUGUCUGCCUAACCCUCAAGUCCAAAGUAUUAUUUCACACUUCAUAAUAGGGAUUAAAUAUGUCAACCUAGAGAUGGAUUUUGAAGACAAGUGAUAGGAAGUAUAUAUUUUGUUACCAAAGAUACCCAAAGUUUCUGGAACCCGGAAGAAGACAUUAAUAAAUUAGGGAUUAUCUAGAGAAAUGCAAGCAAGAUAUAUUGAGCUCCAGAAACUACAUUUUAUGUAAUAUUAAGGAAGGGAUGUCUUUUCUCCAAGAAAAUAGUAAAUGAUACUACCUGGUGAGGAAUUUGACCUUACUCAGGAGAGGUCUGGCCUUUAUACUUGGCUCCUGGGAGGUAAACUCUGAGCCCUUGGGAUUUUCCAAGUGAUAAGAGUUUCUAUUAUUCGUGGUGAACCUUUUGGACAACUUGGUAAAUCAAUUAAUCAUGGCUGGGUAAUAAAGCCCCAAUAAAAACUCUGUAUGCUGACACUCACAUGAGCUUCCCCUGCUGGCAAUAUCCUAUGUGUGCUGUCACACAUAAUAACUUAGAAGAAAGGGAACACAUUCUGAGCAUGAUGGAAGCUUCUAUUUGAAAGCCUCCCAGACUCUGCAGUGUAUCUCUUCCUUUGGCUGAUGUUUGGUAUCAUGUCCCUGUAAUAACUGAAACCAUAAGUAUAGUAGGUUUCAGUUCUGUGAGCCACUCUGGUGAAUGAUCAAACUCGAAGGUAGAUUUCAGAAACCCUGAACUUUCAGUAGUAAGGGUGGUCUUGUGUGGGCUCUUUCAUUUAACUUUGUAGUUGAACACUAACUCCUCUGUCAUUAGGCUAUAAAAUCUUGGGCAGACUUGAUGGACUGGAAGACUACACCCUUAACUCCAUGCAGAUGUAUAAUAAUAAUACGAUCAUUUUAUAAUCCUUAAAAGUGUAUUCUAGCAUAUUAAAAACUAUGGAGGAAAGUGUCAAGAACAUGAAAGAUAGGGAAAGGCUGAGGAACCAUUGCAGAUUGGAGGACACUAAGGAGACAUGACAACUGAAUCCAAUAUGGGCUCCUCUAUUGGAUACUAGAGAAUAAAAAGGACAUUAGAGGAGAAUCUGAUGAAAUUUUAAGAAGAUUUGUAGUUUAAUUAAUAGUGUUGUAUCAAUAUUUUAUUUUAUUUUUGUAAUUAUUAUUUUUUAAUAGUUAUUUCCCCGAUACAAUUUUUUUUUCUGCUGUACAGCAUGGGGACCCAGUUACACAUACAUGUACACAUUCUAUUUUCUCACAUUAACAUACUCCAUCAUAAGUGACUAGACAUAGUUCCCAGUGCUGUAUUCAACUCAGGAAUAAUUUCUCUGUAAGUUUAAAAUUAUUUCCAAAUUAAAAGUAUAGGAGUUCCCUAAAAAAUAAAAAAUCCAUGGAGAAGGGUGUGAAAAUAGACUUUAAAUAUUCAAAGUAUUGUCAUGUGAAAAUAUUUGGUAUUGUUAGAGAGAGAAACUUUGGCUCAAUGUCAGAAAGAAUUUUCUAAAAAUUAGAGCUACCCAAAUAUAUCAUAAGUUGCCUAUGAAGGCAGUAAGCUCUCUACUUUUGAAAACGUUUACUCCUAGUGUAGAGUGUUAUAAGUCAGAUGUAUUGUUAAGGGAUUCCAGCCUCAGGAGAGAAGGUGGAUGAUUCUUAAGAUAUCUUCAGACUCUAAGCUUCUGCUAUUUUAUGGUCUCUAUUUCCUCAAAGUAGUAUCCAAUAGAGGCAAGCUUCCAUAGUUAAUAAGUCAAGUCUUUCAAUUUGGCUCUUACAAAAUCUGUUACUUUCGCUUUACUUAAAUUACCGGGGGGGGGGGGGGGGGGGGGAGGAAUGCUUUAGGAGAGAACAUUUACAUUUAUAUAGUGCUGGCUCACAUCUUCCCUUAGAAGUUUUUGUCAUUAUCAGGGUAAAUUAAGGAAUAAUACUUACUUUCAAAUGUUAGUAGAAAGUAUCUUUUCUCUAAAAAGACGUUCUACCACUGAUGAACCAUAAGAACUGGUAUUUGGUCACAAAUCAAACUCCACAAAAGAUUUUUCAAAUGAUUCCUAAAUGGAUUUAAACAAAACCUAAAAUUGUCACACAAGAACAUAAACCACACACUUAACAAUUUAAUGCAAAAUACAUUUAUUUUCAUUUCAUGAAAACUUUUCAUGUUAUAUCAAUAAAUGUCACAUCAACAGCUCAUGAAAUAUAUACUCUGAGGCUUCCUGAGUAAUUGGCAUUUCUUUAUACUGAACCAAAUUUUAAUUCUAUUCUUGAGUGAAACUUUUAGAGUGUGGGGUUUAUUGAACAAGUAGAAACUAACCUGUUUCUUGGAAUAAGGAACAUUACAUUUCACACAUUUCUGUUAAUAUUCUAAUCAGACAAAUUAUUGUCAGAGCAAGCAGCACAAAAGCAUCUUACUUCAAAGAGGUAAUUUCAUGGACCUGACAUACUAUGAAAUAUGAAAUAAAAUAAUAAGAAUCCCAACUGAGAAGUGUAAUAAAUCCUGGUCCAACUUUGCCCAGAAUAUCUUAUUGCUAUUGCUACAGAGACAUUAUAAGUUUGGGGUUGCCUUGGGCUAUCCUUGUGUUACAAUAACAUCAUAGUUUUGCUCUAAAGACUCAGCCUGCCCCAGGUUCCUAACUGUGACAGGUAAGACAUGAUGUGAAAUAAUAACUUAAAAAUUGCAUAUUAGAGAAGUUCCCAUUGUGGCUCAGUGGUUAAUAAAUCUGACUAGCAUCCAUGAGGACGCAGGCUUGGUCACUUGCUCAGUGGGUUAAGGAUCUGGCAUUGCCAUGAGCUGUGGUGUAGGUUGCAGACAGGGCUCAGAUCCUGUGAUGCUAUGGCUGUGGGGAAGGCCAACAGCUAUAGCUCCGAUUCAACCCCUAACCUGGGAACCUCCAUGUUGUGGGUGAAGCCCCACCCACAAAAAGACAUAUUAGCUUAAGUAUCUUAAUUAAAACAGAAAAUUCUUUUAAAAUUGGUUAACAAUGAUAUAACGAAGCAGUAUGUCUCUGUUCUUACUUUGGGGGUGAAGGUAGUAGGAAGAAUAGAAGUAUCAGAAGUGGGUCAUAGACUCCCACAUUUCAUUUUGUAGAUUUAUGUAACAUCUUGGAAAAACCUCUCAAAUUUCUUAAUAUGGAAUAAAAAUAGAUUUGGGGAACCUUAGAACUUGAAAAUAACUCAUUAAGGUAAUGCAGUUCUCAGAGUCUAAGUAAGAUAUUCUCCCAGCUUCAAAAUAGAAUAUGGGUCUAAUUUUAGCAAUGUGAAUAACUGGAGAAUUUUACAUAAAAGAUGUUGACUUUGAACUCAAAUCAUCCAUACAAAUGGAAAACUAGCUGUUAUUUAUUUCUCUCCAAUAAAUACAUAGUGAAAAGGUAGAUCCUUUUCAUGUCUGUCAAGAGAUAUGAGAUUCAAGUGCUGUCAAUAAUGAGCUAACUAUAAAUUAGCAUUCCCUGAUUUUCCAGCUUUUUUUGUUUUCAUAUGAGGAAUUAAAACGACAAACAUAGAGGUGGCUGUUUAAAAAGUCAUUUCUGAAAGUCCAUAAACAAUCACAUGCUUCUAUUUCCAUUCCCAAGAUUAUACACAUCCUUCUGUUUUUAAAGGACAACUGAUAUUUCAUAUAAUGUCUUCAUGUUUUUAUCUCAACUCUACAUUUCAAGAUAGUGACAGAGUUGCACUGUCUCCUUAGAGUAGGCUAGAAUGGUUCACAUGCUCCACCAACAAGACAAUUUUGAUGCUUUGAAUUGUCCCUGUAAUUUCAUCCACAUCAGUCUUCUCUGAAGUUCUUAUAAAGCUAAGGGUCAUCACAAUUAUAUAGUUCUAAUGCCAUGUUCCUCAUUCUUCUCUGAGAAUGAUGGGAUUAUUUUAGAUUGGAGAAGGUCUACAUGUGUACCUUGUGUUUAUUCUAAGGCUGCUUCCCUUGGAAUUUCUCCAUAAUUUAAUCCAACUUCAGGCAGAUGAGUGGAAUAAUCCAUAGUUUGACAUUCACGAGAGUAAUGGUGCUCAAAGUUGCUCACUGGGUGGAAUCACUGAAGGUGAAGGUGCUCUUUUUGAAAUAUCAUGAAAUCAUGAUAUAUUAAAUUCUAACCUAUGAGUUUGAAAUAUUUGAUUCCUGGAUGAUGCAACCAUAAGGAAAUACUAAUAAAAUCACAAACCUUCUUCCACUUAAGCCAUAAUAAAGCCAAGCUUUCUAGGUGCUUCCUGGAGGGAUGUAUACAAUACAAUUUAUGAAUGAAUUCUGCUAAAAUAAGUAAGGAAAAGCAUCCAAAUGUAGCAUUUCAGUGAAGCUCUCAGUUUACAGGAAAUGCCAGUAAAGAAGAACACGACCAAUACUUUAGGAAUGAAAUCAGUAAAAUCCAGAAUGAGACAGACACUAAAGGGCAACUUUUUGAUCAACAAGUUGCAAAGAACUAAAAGAAGAGGAAACUACAUAUUGAAAGGGAUUUUAGAUAUAUGACACCAAAUGCCAUGUGUAGUCUAUGUUUACAUCCUCAUUCUAACAAAUUAACUUUUAAAAAAAUAAUGAGGCAAUCAGGAGAAUUUGCACAAUUAAGGGAUAUUUAAUGAGAAUAGGAAACUGCUGUAAAUAUUUGUAGGGUAAUAAUGCUAUUGUGCUUUAAAAACAGUGCUCUACUUUUAGAGACACAUAGUGAAAUAUUUAUAGAUGCAUGCAAAUUAUACAAUGCAUGAGCUUACUUCAGAAUAAUCCAGCAAGUUAGAAAUGAGUGAAUGGUGGGUACAAAUGAAACCAGACUGGCCAUACAUUGAUAAAAGUUAAAUAGUUGGGUAUAUAUCCAAAGAAAGUGAAAUCACUAUCUCAAAGAGAUAGCUGCACCCCCAUGUUCACUGCAUUAUCAUUUACAAAUAGCCAAGGCAUAGAAACCACCUGUGUCCUUCGAUGGAUGAAUGGAUAAAGAAAUGUGGUGUGUUUGUAUAUAUGUGUGUGUGCGUAUAAUAAGAAAUACACACACACGUAUAUAUAAUCUAGUGGCAUAUUACUCAGUCAUAUAAAAUAUGGAAAUCCUGUCAUUUGUGACAACAUGAGUGAAUCUUGAGGACAUUAGGCCAAGUAAAAGAAAUCAGAGAAAGAUAAAUAUUACAUAAUCUCAUUUAUAGGUAGAAUGUACAAAACAAACAAAAAAAUGAACUCAUAAAAACAAAUUGUAGGUUGGCGGCUGCCAGGAGCUGGGGAGUGGGGACAAUGAAUAAGGAUGAUCAAAGGGUACAAAUUGCCUGUUAUAAGAUGAAUAAGUUCUGGAGAUCUAAGAUGGGGGUCUACAGCAUGGUGCCUGUAGAUGACAAUACUAUAUCAGACAUCUGAAAUUUACUCUGAGAGUAGAUCAUAAAUGUUCUCCCCAGAAAAGAAAAGAUAACUAUGUAACUAUGAGAGGUGAUGGAUGUGUUAACUAACCUUAUUGUGGUAAUUAUUUCACAGACAUUACACAAUGUUAUAUGUCAAAUAUAUCUCAAUGUAGUUGGAAAAAAAAAAA